rnacentral:misc_RNA from 1 species
UAUGAGAUUAUAAUACUCAGGUUCUCUUUAAUAUGUUUACAUACUAGAUUCACAAUUCUCAUAUUAUCUCAAAUAAUCAGAUAUGUUAAGGCCUAGGAUACAGUGGUUAAUAAUUAGGAGGUGUACAAUAAAAAUUGAAAUGGUGAGUGAGACAGAAUAUUAGUCUUGUGAUGAAGAGAUUGCUUGGUAAAACUGAUUGAAAAUCCUGAAGAGAAAUCUUUGCUUCUUGGCCAUUUUCUGGAGACAGAACACUGACAGGAUAUGUUGGAAGUAGUUGAAGAUUAUGAUGAUUGCCAAUAUGAUAUCAUUUGGAAAUGGGAAUUGGAAUAUAUCCACUCAAUGAAGUAAGAUCAUUACAUUUUCCCCAUGAUUACCCAACGUUACUUUUAAAAAAAAGGUAUUUUUAUACUCCUUUCAUCCAAAUGUGAAAGGAAAAAGAUCAUAUAAUUUGGGUUUUUAUAGGAAAGUUCAGAAAAUAUAGCUUUGCUUUUGAAGCGGAUACCAAUAAACAAAUGCUAGAGGAUGGAGUAUUAAAUAGUUUUUUUAAAGAACUACCAUUUGGUGAUUUUAUAGUUAGACUUCUGUGUCUUUUGAGAACUUUGUUGAAUUUUUUUAUAUAUAUAUUAUGUUAUUUAGUUGUUUCACAAUUAAGUUGUUAAAUUUUCUUGCCAUCUUAUGCAGCUAUUGCUGUUUCUCGAGAUCACAAGCCAGACCAAACUGAUGAGCGGCAACGA